UGAAUAAUUUAUUCAAUUAUAAAAAAGAAUUGAAUAAUUUAUUUUGAGUGGGCUAAGCCCCCUCAGCUCCCCUAGUUACACUUACGAUGACGGUGAUUAUAUUUCUUAGAUCUAUAAAAGGAAGGAGCCUAGUUUGACGUCUCAAAUUGUGCUAUACCGUUUAUCCUUACUAAAAAUUUAGAUAAAUAUGUUACUUUUUUUCAGUGGUGCCGUCAAGAAAAUAAUAUCAGUGAAAAUAAAAUAAUGAUUAUCAGCAUUUUUAAAUGCGCAUCGCGCGGGCAUCAGUCAGUGUAACCCAGAUAUCUUAGUCCGUGGUGUAACCCGAUAUAACAGAUAUCCCUUAUCUUAGUCCGUGAUUAUAAUCACGGCUGAUAAAAAUUAAAUAUCUAAUAAUUUACAAUUGAUAAUGUGUAAAAAUUUUAAUGUUUUUUGUUUAUUAUGAAUGGCGAUUUAUCAUUUUUUCAUGGUAAUGAUUAAUGAACGUCAAGUUAUAGGUGUAAUAUAUUAGAUUUACACUUGAUGAAAGAAUAAAAAAUAAAAGAGCCAGCAAUCAUCACAAUAUAGUGGAAUUUGUUGUGUUAAUUUUACGGAAAAACACAGACUUUCCAUUUAUGAAUAAUAUUAUUAUUAAUAAUGAUAUAUUGAUGUUAUAAAUUUUCUAUUUUGGAACAAUGAGAACAAAAAUUAUCAACAAUAAUAUUUCUAUGUAAUAUGCAGAAUAUAAUCUGAGAUUAAGUCGAUAAUUUACAUUUUACAGUAACAAUGUGAUUAAUGGAUAUUUGGGAACUUUGGUUGAACAUAAUUUCAGUGGUAUUAUUCCGAAGUUUGUUUUAUGUUACUGGUUACAAUUUGAUAAUGCAGUACUUUUAAAAACCAUUCAACUGCCAUACAAAUAACUAAAUUGACUGCCUCACCUCAACUAUGAUAAACUAUGUAAACAAUUAGUAUAAAUUACUAAGUUUUAUUUAAUAUAUACAUUAAACGCUGAAAUAGUCAAAAGUUUUUACAAAAAUAUCUUAAGUGUUGUAUAGGGCAUAUCACGAGGUAUAUCUAUUAUUGAUUUAGUGUAAGUUGUAAGAUUUUGUACAGAUAUUUUAAAUAACAUUAAUUAAUCAAAAACAUUUAAAAUAAUAAAUAAGUAAAACUUAACUUAUUUAAUAAUUCUAUAUAUUUUUUAGAAUUAUAAAAGAGCCAUUCUCUGCCAUCAUUUGAAAUAUGAAUGUGUGUUAAAGAAAUUUGAAUCAGUGAUAUAACAAAAUUCAUGUAAACAUAUGUACAAACCACAAUCAGUGUUGCUUUUUUGUAAUGAAUCAUUAGCGUACACACAUUGCCAUUCACGCAAAUUAAAUUUCAAACUUAUUUUGUUGCAAUAGCUUAAAAUAUUAUAAUAUACAUAUAUUAUUUGAAGUAAGCAAAUAAAAUACUCUUUCCUUUCAUUUAGGGAAAGAACAGAGUCCAAAA